rnacentral:lncRNA from 1 species
AGCUGGCCCGAGUGAUCGAUUACCCCGGAUGAAAAGACUCAGAGCUGUGGACUCGUAGCAGGAAGAGCCCUUAGAAACAGGGAACUGCUCUUUUUACAGUUAGGGAUACUGAAGACCAGAGAGGUGCUUGCUUGCCCAAAGUCGCGCAGCUUAGCUUGAAAGUAAAUUAUGGAAGAAUUCUGGUGGGCUUUGGGGUCAGACAGCGUUGAGUUCAAGUCCUGGAUCUAUCACUAUAUUCCUUGGCUCCUGUUAGCAAUCUCCAUGCUAUCCAAGUGGCCCGGACUUGUGAUUUCCAGAAGAGUGUAAUGCUGGAAGAUUCUCCUGACACAUCCCAGAAGGAAGCAUUAUUCUCACAGUGUUAUCUUUGCUGCUCUCUGGGUUUGCUCAUCCAGGGAGAUUGUGGCAGCCAUUGUGAUUAUUCUGUUUGUCUGUCUGUCUCUCUCUCAUGCACACACCCCCGCCCCCUCACAUUAGCUUCAUUUCCUAGUGUAACUAGAAGCCCGCACAGGCUCAGCUACAGAGACAGAAAAUCCUGUGGAAGCACGUUGGGCUCAUUAAUAAGGGAAAGUGACUGGUGACUAUAACUUCUAUAGCUUUUAUGAAUUACUAGAAGUGAAUUUUUGGGAAAUUACUAAAUAAUACAUGUUCAACAUAGAAAAAUUAGAAAAGAUAGAUAAGCAAAAAAAAAAAAAAGGGAAUUCACUCCGUGUAUAAGGAAUUUUGUUUUUAUUAAAUACUAGUUUUUUAAAUUGAAAAAAUAAUCUAUAGCAGUAAAAAAAAUAUUAUAACACUUCAGAAGGGCAUGAAAUGGAGUAAGAUCCCUCGGAACCU